GAAUCUUGCGCAAUGGGCGAAAGCCUGACGCAGCCAUGCCGCGUGAAUGAUGAAGGUCUUAGGAUUGUAAAAUUCUUUCACCGGGGACGAUAAUUACGGUACCAGGAGAAGAAGCCCCGGCUAACUUCGUGCCAGCAGCCGCGGUAAUACGGAGGGGGCUCGCGUUGCUCGGAAUUACUGGGCGUAAAGGGAGCGUAGGCGGAUCGUUAAGUCGGAGGUGAAAUCACGGAGCUCAACUUCGGAAUUGCCUUUGAUACUGGCGAUCUUGAGUGUGAGAGAGGUAUGUGGAACUCCGAGUGUAGAGGUGAAAUUCGUAGAUAUUCGGAAGAACACCAGUGGCGAAGGCGGCUUUCUGGUCUGUAACUGACGCUGAGGCGCGAAAGCGUGGGGAGCAAACA
rnacentral:rRNA from 1 species